CAGCAAGCAGAGCAGCCAGCAGAGAUAAGAGUCUGCAAAGCUAUAUUCAACAGCCUUUCCACUGCAGCUGAAUGUGUAGAGACUGCCAGAAUGCCUUUCUGAUAAUAGCUUGAACAAGUUCAUUUUAAUUUCUUUGUCAUCCUCAAAUAAUGAUUUCCACAGUGCCUUGGGCACUGUCUCUAUGGUUUGGUUUGAUCUGAGGAGGGAAAAAAAAAUGUGAGAGGUUGGUACUAAAGAAGUGCCUUUCCUGACGUCUCUGCUGCUUGGAACCGCUUCUAGAGCAGUCACUGCUUUUGCCUUGCUUGCUGCCAGCUAGACUGCAACGACAGCACAUCUACUCUCCAGCUCUAGUCCAGCUGCCCCCACCUGUAAUUGAGCAAACACAUCCUCAGUAUCCAGGCAUUGCCUUUUCAUUGCUGCUUUACUGUACAAACAAAACUUUUUUUUUUUAUUGGUUUCUCUCUGAAAGAAAACAUAAGACGUUUUACUGCCAUUAAAUUGACAAGGUGGUCAGGUUUCGAUUGUUGCUGUACACUGCUGCACACUCUAUGCCAGUCUGAUCAAUAACAAUUGCACUAUAAAACCCAGUUGCCAAUUCAGCUGUGGGGAGAUUACCUUUCAAACAACUCUACUGGAAGCAGUUUGAAAAGCCAGUGUCAGCAAAGAGUCUGCCACAUUUUCAUGCUUAUGUUGGGCUCCAAUUUGGGCUCAAAUAUAGUUCAGGCCAGAUUGUUUGAUAUAUCUAUUCACUGCUGAUAUUAUUGCUUUAAAAUUACUUUUUGUUAAGUAAUUCGUUUUUAGGGUUUACAGAGGACACCCAGUAUAAGUUUUCUGAAGUGCACCUCCGAAACAAAGAAAUAUUACAAAAGAAAAAUUAAAUUUAAGUAUUUGUAGGUAACAUUUUUAUUCAAUAAAACAUACCACAGGUUGCCUAUAGCUUUUUAUUUUCGAUUUAAUUUCAACCACCUAUAAAUUUCAAACAUGGCAGUCAAUAUGGCACAAAUACGGGACACAAAAUGGCUCACCCUGGAAGUGUGCAGAGAGUUCCAAAGAGGGACUUGCUCGCGGCCAGACACGGAAUGUAAAUUUGCACAUCCUGCAAAAAGCUGCCAAGUUGAAAAUGGAAGAAUAAUCGCCUGCUUUGACUCUUUAAAAGGCCGCUGCUCACGAGAAAACUGCAAAUAUCUGCAUCCUCCUCAACACUUAAAAACACAGCUGGAGAUAAAUGGACGCAAUAACCUAAUUCAGCAGAAAAAUAUGGCUAUGCUGGCCCAGCAGAUGCAGCUUGCCAACGCCAUGAUGCCUAGUACUCAGUUACAGCCUAUGAUAGACCGUUUUCUUAUUCACCCUGAAUCUUCAUACAAUUCGUCCCCCCGUUUCUUUCAACCAAUGUUCUCUGUCUCCCCAAACCUAGCCACCAAUGCGGCAGCAGCUUUCAACCCCUACAUGGGGCCAGUGUCCCCAGGCUUGCUCCCAGCUGAAAUGAUGCCUACCGGUCCAAUGCUGGUAACAGGGAACCCUGCUGUCCCUGGCCCUGCAGCUGCAGCUGCUGCUGCUCAGAAACUAAUGAGGACAGAUAGACUGGAGGUUUGCAGGGAGUACCAACGUGGAAACUGCACAAGAGGUGAAACUGACUGCCGGUUCGCUCAUCCCUCUGACAGCACGAUGAUUGAUACCAAUGACAACACAGUCACCGUGUGCAUGGAUUACAUUAAAGGGAGAUGCUCCAGGGAAAAGUGUAAAUAUUUUCACCCUCCUGCACACCUGCAGGCCAAGAUAAAAGCCGCGCAGCACCAGGUCAAUCAGGCUGCAGCUGCACAGGCAGCAGCCAGCGCCAUGACUCAGUCGGCUGUCAAAUCACUGAAGCGACCCCUCGAGGCAACCUUUGACCUGGGAAUCCCUCCAGGUGUACUUCCCCCAUUACCAAAGAGACCCGCACUUGAAAAAACCAAUGGUGCCACCUCAGUCUUUAAUACUGGUGUUUUCCAAUACCAACAGGCCCUUGCCAACAUGCAGUUUCAGCAACAAGCCUUCAUCCCUUCAGGCUCAAUAUUGUGCAUGACACCUGCAUCAAGUGUUGUUUCCAUGAUGCACGGCGCCACACCCUCCUCUGUGUCUGCAGCAUCAUCGUCUGCCUCAAGUGUUCCCUUCGCUGCAGCAGCCUCAGCCAACCAGAUUCCCCAAGAAUACAUGCAUUUGGUAUGUAUGAUGUAGUUUUUCUUCAGAAUAUAAAUGUGCAAGAUACCCAUAAUGUCUGCAGACCAUCUGACUAGCCACAAGUAUGUUACUCAGAUGUAGGAGUCUCUUCACAAAACAAUCAUACUAAAGAUACAAGUGUGCUGGUAUACAGAUCAAAUGUCAUCGUUCAUGUAAAAUUACAUCAAAGAAAGACCUCAUCCCCUCAGCAGGAGAAGUUGACAUAAUGCAUGCUAACACCACAAGACAGAGGGCAGAAGACCUGGACAUACAAAUACUGCACACCGACACAUAUAUACUCUGUAUGUUUUACUAAUCUUAAAGCUGAGGGGGACUGUGUUACUGUCCACUAUGCAUCACUGUCUGCCUUUUCUACUAUCGUUGUAUGCAUACAUUUCAAUACACAUGCAUAAAUAAUCCAUUACUUUAAAGGUCUAGUCCUCACCGAAAAGGAAGACCGUGAUGUAGUUAUCAUGUCUAACAUUGGUACGUCUGUAGACCAAGAAAUGGUUUUGUUUUUUAAUUCUGAUAUAUUUCUUUCAUGGUUUACAAAUAACAAAAGUGCACCUUGUAUUUAAAAAAAAAAAUGCCAUUAUAGAUGAGAGUCGAUUGUGCAUGCAGUGUUCUGUGUGUAAGGGUUAUAUUUUUAACGGCAUAGAUUGUAAGAGGAAGCAAAGGAGGUAUCUGACAGAGAUGAAUGUGCUGAGCAAAACUACAACUGUGUAUAUUAUAAAGCACAACGUGGCUUUAAGUACCAUGUUAUAGGAUACACAUUAAGUGCCAUAGACUGUACAUCCAAACUAGAGUAUUAUUCCUGCAGUGUUAUUGUGUUUACCUUAUGAACGCCACUUUUUUUUUUGUUACUGCUAGUGCUAACUGUGUAGAGGGCACCAUUAAGGUUUCAGUGUCAAAACAGUCUCAGAAAUGGUAUAUUUUCCUUAAGAUGUAAUUCAACACACCUACUUACAGCUGGCAUGACAUGAACAUUCAUACUAUAAUACUAUAAUACUAUUAUACCAUAGAACUUGUAUAUUGCAUAACAUGCAGUGUUUUUUUCUGAGAAGUAUAUUGUGCCAUUUCUGAGAUAAUGAAAUGCAAAAGGGUUUAGCAGGGUUUUUUUUUUUUAGCCUUUGUCAGAAGUCUUUAGACUAUAAAUGCUUUGCGGAGAAGGGUUUUGCUUUGAGCUGAAUGUUACAUUACAGUCACAGUCGAUGAAAUGGUGACUCUAAACUAUGAUGAAAGAAGCACUGUCAAAAGAAGCAUGAUAAACCAAAAUCAUUGAGUACAGGAGGUGUUUAAAUAGUUACAGGGUGGGAAAUGUAUUUGGGUGAAUUUUAUAUGUGUUUUUAUUAUUAUUAUUAUUAUUAUUAUUAUUAUUAUUAUUAUUAUUAUUAUUAUUAUUAUUGUUCUUAUACUUUUUUAAGAUUAAUGGCAUAUAGCCUUAGAAAAAAUGUUUUAUUAGUUGUGCUGCCUUUUUUUUUUCAUCCAAAGGUUUUUUGUUUUGUUUUUUUGUUAACAUUUUGCAGCUUGUGAUGAUUAGUUGAGCCCUUUUCAGCAAAUGCAUAGAUGACUGAAGUGGGGCCAGAUUCCUGAUAGUAUAGAAACGGAACAGAAGAAGCGAGAAUUCUGUUCUAGAAUUUUCCGUACUUCCUAGCCUAUACAGGAGGAGUGAUGUGUUUAUUAGUACAAGAAUGAUGUGUUGAUUUUACUGAUUGUACUGUAAAUCUAUAAGCCUUAGAUUACAUUAUGGGUUUGAACCCAUCAAAAUGUAAUUUCAAUCAUGAGAAGAUUAUAUAGGUCAUAAACACAACAUGUUAUUGUAUUUCUUACAUAUAGAAUUGUACUUUCUUUAUCAUGUUACAUUUAUAUAGUUUUUUCUUCUGUUUUAUUAGGUUGAUUUUCUAUUUCUUUUAAAGGAAAUUCAAUACUGUUUUAGUUUGUAGAUUUUUGUUUCAUUAGAUUUUUACUGAUAACCUUUUUAGAGUACUAAUUCUAUUAAAAUUAGUUAUUUGUUUCCUUCAUACCAUACUCCUACUUUUGAAUUUAUAUGUAGUAUUGAUUAAUUAUGUGUAUUAUUGUAAACUAAAAUUAUUUUUAUUUUACUGUUCGUGAAGUUUAAGAAUGUCAGUAAUUUUCUUGUCUUGUUUGUAUUCUUUGAACAAAGACCUUUUAUAUGGAUAUCUUACAAUGAGGAAAUCAUUGCUAAGAAAGAAGUUAAGUUGUUGCUAUAGCAACAAUCCUGGCAGACAACUGAGUAAUAUUUUGAUGAUUUUUUUUUUUUUUUUUUUUUUUGGUUUGUAAGUAGUCAUUAUUAUAUAAAAAAAUAAAUCUAGUUCCUAGAUGUUAGAGUAAAAUUUAUUUUUUACUGUAUCCAUUUCAAAUAGUAAAAUAUUGUUUGAAUAUUUUUUUUAAAUCCCUGGAUGACAGGCCUUGUUUAAAAAAAAAAAAAAAGCUGCAUAAUCAAUAGAUCAAGGGAUCUUUGUGACUAAUUCAAAUAAACAAAGUUUACGUAGUAAGAUUGAAUCACUGAUCGUGCAAACUCUUGAAGGUUGAUUAUGCUACAAUUGAAAGUGUUGGAACCUAUGGGAAGAAGGUUGAGUUUUUGCACUUCUGUAUAUAGUCAAAAAAGAAAGAAACAUGUAUAAUAAUAAGAUCUUAUUUUGAAUAAUAAAAAAAUGUCUAUAAUUACAAGGAAUUUUGUUAGGUUAUUAAAAAAAAAUGACAGGCUGAACAAAAUUGCUUGCAAAAGUGGCACAGAGGUAGCACUCCAAACCCCUUUAAGAAAAGGCAAAAUUGUUGCUUAGCUUUUUGUGAACAGCUUGUAGUUUGCCAGGAGUUUUUCAGCUGGAAAGAUAUGCCAUCCUCCCAAGAUCUUGUACCGAUCCAAACACUGCACCGGUCCAGACCUGCCUUACCAUCACAGUAAAGAGCAGGUCCCAAAACAAAUGGGUUCAAGUCAUGAAGCGAUAUUUUCCUUACAUUUGUCAAAAUAUUUUCAUGUUUAAGAAGAAAAAAAAACAGCAGCAUAUGUUCAAGAUAUAUUCAAUAACUCUAAUGUACUGAAUUUCAGUGGUAUAUUAAAAAAAAAAAAAAUAAUCACAGAUUUAAAGAGAUAACAAGAGAUCAUAAAACACACCAUAGCUG